rnacentral:rRNA from 1 species
GCUAUCAUUCCCACACUAAUGCACCAGAUCCCAUCAGAACUCCGAAAUUAAGCGUGCUUAGGCGAGAGCAAUACUAGGAUGGGUGCCCCCCCGGGAAGUCCUCGUGUUGCACCU